CGGGGACGGGUGAGUAAUGUCUAGGGAAACUGCCUGAGGGAGGGGGAAUAAUACUGGAAACGGUAGCUAAUACCGCAUAACGUCGCAAGACCAAAGAGGGGGACCUUCGGGCCUCUUGCCAUCGGAUGUGCCCAGAUGGGAUUAGCUAGUAGGUGGGGUAACGGCUCACCUAGGCGACGAUCCCUAGCUGGUCUGAGAGGAUGACCAGCCACACUGGAACUGAGACACGGUCCAG
rnacentral:rRNA from 1 species